rnacentral:rRNA from 1 species
CCUUGGCGGCUGCCCUUAACAUGCAGUCGACGGCAGCACGGGUGCUUGCACCUGGUGGCGAGUGGCGAACGGGUGAGUAAUACAUCGGAACAUGUCCUGUAGUGGGGGAUAGCCCGGCGAAAGCCGGAUUAAUACCGCAUACGAUCUACGGAUGAAAGCGGGGGACCUUCGGGCCUCGCGCUAUAGGGUUGGCCGAUGGCUGAUUAGCUAGUUGGUGGGGUAAAGGCCUACCAAGGCGACGAUCAGUAGCUGGUCUGAGAGGACGACCAGCCACACUGGGACUGAGACACGGCCCAGACUCCUACGGGAGGCAGCAGUGGGGAAUUUUGGACAAUGGGCGAAAGCCUGAUCCAGCAAUGCCGCGUGUGUGAAGAAGGCCUUCGGGUUGUAAAGCACUUUUGUCCGGAAAGAAAUCCUUGACUCUAAUACAGUCGGGGGAUGACGGUACCGGAAGAAUAAGCACCGGCUAACUACGUGCCAGCAGCGCCGGUAAU